rnacentral:rRNA from 1 species
CGCCAGGAUAUUACGAGCAAUAGCUUAAAAUCCAAAGGACUUGACGGUGUCCCUUACCCAUCUAGAGGAGCCUGCCCUAUAAUCGAUUAUCCCCGCUAGACCCUACCAUCUCUUGCCAAUCAGCUUGUAUACUUCCGUCGUAAGCUUACCAUGUGAAAGACCAAUAGUGGGCCUAAUGUUCCGUUUCACCAGUACGUCAGGUCAAGGUGCAGCCUAUGAGAUGGGAAAGGGUGGGCUACAAUUUCUAUAAUAGAACACACGAAACCCUGCAUGAAAACCCAGAAAUGAAGGUGGAUUUAGUAGUAAAAAGAAAAUAGAGUGUUCUUUUUAAUGAGCCGCUGGGGCGAGUACACACCGCCCGUCACCCUCUUCGAUAGCAAACAAUAAGUAUUUAACACAUUUAUGCAUAGUAGAAGAGGUAAGUCGUAACACGGUAAGCGUACUGGAAAGUGCGCUUGGAUA